GACGAACCGAGCGAACGUUGUUCGGAAUCACUGGGCUUAAAGGGCGCGUAGGCGGGUGCUCAAGUCCGUGGUGAAAUCCUCCGGCUCAACCGGAGAACUGCCUCGGAUACUGGGUGCCUCGAGGGUGGUAGGGGUAUGCGGAACUAUCGGUGGAGCGGUGAAAUGCGUUGAUAUCGAUAGGAACUCCGGUGGCGAAGGCGGGUCUCUGGACAGUUCCUGACACUGAGGCACGAAGGCCAGGGGAGCAAACGGG
rnacentral:rRNA from 1 species